GCCCGUUUAGCUCAUCGGUAGAGCGCAUCACUAGUAAUGAUGAGGUGACUGGUUCGAUUCCAGUAAUGGGCA
rfam:Diaporthe ampelina DA_912_scaffold_v01_114, whole genome shotgun sequence.